rnacentral:misc_RNA from 1 species
UUUCCGUAGGUGAACCUGCGGAAGGAUCAUUACAGAGUUCAUGCCCUCACGGGUAGAUCUCCCACCCUUGACUAUUUAUACCUUAGUUGCUUUGGCAGGCCGUGGAAACACCAUGGGCUCCGGCUUAUGCGUGCCUGCCAGAGGAAACAAACUCUGUCUUUAGUGAUGUCUGAGUACUAUAUAAUAGUUAAAACUUUCAACAACGGAUCUCUUGGUUCUG